AUGGCUCAGAUUGAACGCUGGCGGCAGGCUAACACAUGCAAGUCGAGCGGGGAAAUGUAGCUUGCUACAUUACCUAGCGGCGGACGGGUGAGUAAUGCUUAGGAAUCUGCCUAUUAGUGGGGGACAACAUCUCGAAAGGGAUGCUAAUACCGCAUACGUCCUACGGGAGAAAGCAGGGGGACCUUCGGGCCUUGCGCUAAUAGAUGAGCCUAAGUCGGAUUAGCUAGUUGGUGGGGUAAAGGCCUACCAAGGCGACGAUCUGUAGCGGGUCUGAGAGGAUGAUCCGCCACACUGGGACUGAGACACGGCCCAGACUCCUACGGGAGGCAGCAGUGGGGAAUAUUGGACAAUGGGGGGAACCCUGAUCCAGCCAUGCCGCGUGUGUGAAAGAAGGCCUUUUGGUUGUAAAGCACUUUAAGCGAGGAGGAGGCUACCGAGAUUAAUACUCUUGGAUAGUGGACGUUACUCGCAGAAUAAGCACCGGCUAACUCUGUGCCAGCCGCCGC
rnacentral:rRNA from 1 species